rnacentral:lncRNA from 1 species
AGAUAGUACUGGAGGUGGUAUUUUAGAAUAAAGUAGUUGCUUAAUAUUCCCAGUUGAAAUUAAAAAAUUCUCAUUUUGGUAGCAAAUUAAGCUGAAAUCGAGAAGUUUAUCAUUUUCAAGUAUUAGUAACGGUCAGAUCUGUAAUGACCAAGAGUAGGAAAAUGACUUUUGGGAGCAAGGGUUUAGAUGAGAAAGCCACUUUAAAGGACAGUGCAGCUGGAAGAAAACAAGUAUCCACCCCUCUCAUUCAGAAAACAAGCCCCCUGGAGUGCUUGAAGCUGUUUUAAAUAGCAGAACCAGUCCUUCCUCCAGCAGUGUACCAGCCUCUUUGAGACCAUCACAAAUGUCUUUAUAAUGUCUUCAUCCAAAUACAGCCCUACCCCAGCAACCAUAGAUAGACCUGUAAUGUCUCCCUUCCUUAUGCAUGGCUAUAGUUUCCCCUUCUCUGAUGCUGUCGUGACUGAACGACCAUAGUGUUAUUUUCACAUCUGAAGAAAGUAUGGCAAAGGAGUUUGGUGUAUUUUGUUCACUUGUUCUAAGUUUCACUGUUCACUUUGAAACUGAAAGAGUUCCACAGAGAUUCUACCACUGCUGCGUACAAAUUUUAGAUUAAGAGUUAAAAUGAA